AAUCUCUUAGAAAUAAGAGAGUGCCUCAUUAGAGGAGCCUGGUGACAGGUGCUGCAUGGCUGUCGUCAGCUCGUGUCGUGAGAUGUUGGGUUAAGUCCCGCAACGAGCGCAACCCUUGCCUUUAGUUGCCAUCAUUAAGUUGGGCACUCUAGAGGGACUGCCGGUGUCAAACCGGAGGAAGGUGGGGAUGACGUCAAGUCCUCAUGGCCUUUAUGACCAGGGCUACACACGUACUACAAUGGCAUGUACAAAGGGCAGCCACUUCGCAAGAAGGAGCGAAUCCUAAAAACAUGUCUCAGUCCGGAUUGGAGUCUGCAACUCGACUCCAUGAAGUUGGAAUCGCUAGUAAUCGUAGAUCAGCAUGCUACGGUGAAUACGUUCCCGGGCCUUGUACACACCGCCCGUCACACCACGGGAGUUGGUUGUACCAGAAGUAGUUGAGCGAACCUUUAUGGACGCAGGCUACCAAGGUAUGGCUGGUAACUGGGGUGAAGUCGUAACAAGGUA
rnacentral:rRNA from 1 species